AAGUCGUAACAAGGUUUCCGUAGGUGAACCUGCGGAAGGAUCAUUACAAAAGGAGGAGUCUCCUACUGUGGUAGCGGGUCCGCCCGCUACCCGACGAACACGGCCCCCCUCACGGGGGGUACCCCCCCACCCUUGCUUAUUAUACCUUUGUUGCUUUGGCGGGCCGCGUCAAGCCACCGGCUCACGCUGGUGAGCGCCCGCCAGAGGCCCCAACUCUUGAUUUUAUGAUGUCUGAGUACUAUAUAAUAGUUAAAACUUUCAACAACGGAUCUCUUGGUUCUGGCAUCGAUGAAGAACGCAGCGAAAUGCGAUAAGUAAUGUGAAUUGCAGAAUUCAGUGAAUCAUCGAAUCUUUGAACGCACAUUGCGCCCCGUGGUAUUCCGCGGGGCAUGCCUGUUCGAGCGUCAUUAUGACCAAAUCACGCCUGGNGUGGNCUUGNGGCUGNCAACUCUGCCGCCCUCAAACGCAGUGGCAGCGCCGUUUGGCUCUUAGCGUAGUAAUACUCCUCGCUAUAGGGUCCUGCGGCUGCCCGCCAGCAACCCCCAAUCUUUAUAGGUUGACCUCGGAUCAGGUAGGGAUACCCGCUGAACUUAAGCAUAUCAAUAAGCGGAGGAAAAGAAACCAACAGGGAUUGCCUCAGUAACGGCGAGUGAAGCGGCAACAGCUCAAAUUUGAAAUCUGGCCCUUUCAGGGUCCGAGUUGUAAUUUGUAGAAGAUGCUUCGGGUGUGGUCCCGGUCUAAGUUCCUUGGAAGAGGACGUCAUAGAGGGUGAGAAUCCCGUAUGUGACCGGUGCCCACGCCUAUGUGAAGCUCUUUCGACGAGUCGAGUUGUUUGGGAAUGCAGCUCUAAAUGGGUGGUAUAUUUCAUCUAAAGCUAAAUAUUGGCCAGAGACCGAUAGCGCACAAGUAGAGUGAUCGAAAGAUGAAAAGCACUUUGGAAAGAGAGUUAAACAGUACGUGAAAUUGUUGAAAGGGAAGCGCUUGCAAUCAGACUUGCGCGCCGUCGAUCAUCCCAGGUUUUCCUGGGUGCACUCGGCGGCGCUCAGGCCAGCAUCGGUUCCAGUGGUGGGAUAAAGGCCUUGGGAAUGUAGCUCCUUUCGGGGAGUGUUAUAGCCCUCGGUGCAAUGCCGCCUACCGGGACCGAGGACCGCGCUUCGGCUAGGAUGCUGGCGUAAUGGUUGUAAGCGACC
rnacentral:rRNA from 1 species